UCUGGUGCCAGCAGCCGCGGUAAUUCCAGCUCCAAUAGCGUAUAUUAAACUUGUUGCAGUUAAAAAGCUCGUAGUUGAAUUUUUGCGUGGUGUUAAUAUUGACUAAUGUCGAGAUUGCACUUCGCUUUUGGGAUUUAUCCCUUUUUACUUUGAGAAAAUUAGAGUGUUUCAAGCAGACUUUUGUCUUGAAUACUUCAGCAUGGAAUAAUAGAGUAGGACUUUGGUUCUAUUUUGUUGGUUUGUGAACCUUAGUAAUGGUUAAUAGGAACGGUUGGGGGCAUUCGUAUUUAACUGUCAGAGGUGAAAUUCUUAGAUUUGUUAAAGACGAACUACUGCGAAAGCAUUUGCCAAGGACGUUUUCAUUAAUCAAGAACGAAAGUUAGGGGAUCGAAGACGAUCAGAUACCGUCGUAGUCCUAACCAUAAACUAUGCCGACUAGGGAUUGGAGGUCGUCAUUUUUCCGACUCCUUCAGCACCUU
rnacentral:rRNA from 1 species